AUACGGAGGAUGCAAGCGUUAUCCGGAUUUAUUGGGUUUAAAGGGUGCGUAGGCGGUUUGCUAAGCGGGAGGUGAAAUGCCGGCGUUCAACGUCGGAAGUGCCUCCCGAACUGGUGGACUUGAAUGACUCUGCCGUGGGAGGAAUGUGUAGUGUAGCGGUGAAAUGCUUAGAGAUUACACAGAACACCGAUUGCGAAGGCAUCUCACGAAGGGUUGAUUGACGCUGAGGCACGAAAGCGUGGGGAUCAAACAGGAUUAGAUACCCUGGUAGUCCACGCAGUAAACGAUGAUGGCUAACCGCUGGAUCCAUCGGUUCAGUGGCCAAGCGAAAGCGAUAAGCCAUCCACCUGGGGAGUACGACCGCAAGGUUGAAACUCAAAUGAAUUGACGGGG
rnacentral:rRNA from 1 species